rnacentral:snRNA from 1 species
AUACAUACACUAUGAUUGUGCCAUUUAAUUUUAACCCUAGGUUAGUGACUUCCAUCGCACUUUGGAGGGGCAUUUGUCUAAGGUCGGCUCUAUAGGUCAAGCCUACAUCAUAAUUUGUGACAGUGGGGUCUACAUUCAUUGAUUUUUCGAA